rnacentral:misc_RNA from 1 species
AUGGUUGAUAGCAAUAUCCGACUUGACGUAUUACUUCUAGGAACACGCGUAAUUGGGUUUAAACGUAGAAAAACCCAUAUUAGUUUGUAACCAUAGUAGUUAGGCAAGUGUAAAUAGAACCCAUUUAAAUAGAGGGAUGUAAAGGAAAUCAUAUCAUUCACGAAGCAGUUGAGCAGGCGAUUACUUGUCGAUAUAAUAUUACAAACAUACGCUCGCAACCAUGAAGCUGUCUGCUGUAUUUGUAAUGUUGAUGGCGGUGUUCGCUCUGUUUAUCGGUCAGAGCAGCGCGGACCCUAAAGUUAACUUUAAUGCCAUUAGAAAAGGAGGCAGAGCUAUUGGGAAGUUUUUCCAAGGUGCUGCAAUUCUAGGCGCGGUGCAGGAAGCGAUCAACAAUGGAAAAAGAGGCAAACAUAAGUCGUUCCACUCAAGUAGCUCUAAGAAUUAAAUAUUUAAGUUUAUUUGUUGCGAUUUAAUAAAUUUUACUCAAUUUUGUAUGAAUCAGUAUUAUUUGUAUGUUUUCUAGAGGAGAGUAAAAGAUUUAACACGCAUACGAUUUGUUUACUUCUAUUACUUGUUAUCAUAAACAACUCAGGUGUAGGCAUCGGUCGGAUUUUAUAUCAAACGUACAUAGAA